GAAGGGAAUCAAGAACCUUCCUAUCCUCUCAAUCUCCCUCACUAUCAUUUUCUCUCUCCUCACCGUCUCUCUCUCUCUCAUUUCAGUGGUCCUCUCUUCCUUCUUGCUCUCUGCUUUGCUAAACCGCAACCACCGGCGCCGCUAACGUGCUCCCCUCUCCAUCUUCGGCACUGAUGAUGUUGUGUCGCUAGUGAUGUUGUUGACCUGCUUCUGCCGACUUCCUUGCUCCGCCUCCCUCUCAUCCUUCACGUCAUCGCCGCCGCCAGUGAUGGCCUUCGAUUGUCUCUGCCGGCAUCAUCACCUUAUUGGUAAAUUUCUUUAAUUCAUUUCCAUUUAUAGAUUGAAUUGAAUAUAGUAAAACCCCAAAGUAGCAAACCCUAACAAAUUCAUCUUAUUUCUUUUUUUUCCUCUCCUUGUGUUGUAAUUUGGGCGCCGCUGGUAACUCGCCGGAGCGCCGGAGUUCUCUGACGGUGUAGUUGUUCCUGUUGGUGGUGUUAUUCCUUGUUGGUGUUGAAUCUUGCGCCCCUGUCUCUCCUCUUUGGUUUCUGCUCUCCUUUGUCUCCUUCCCUCCUCUGUCGGACCGCCUGAGUCCCAUGGCUUGCCGGGGCUGUGGUUGUCGUUGUUGAUGAGGGUGUAUCAUUGGAGGUCGAUUAAGGAGAAUUGAAUUACGGAGUUUAAGCGGGGAUUGGUGAUCGAAAUCUAUAGUUCUUGGAAUCUAUUUGUUGGUAAUUGAAGAGUUAAAAUGUUUUGCAGGUAGCAAGAGUUAGGUCUCAGUUCAGAUUCAAGGUUCGUAGAGUUCUCAAAUGGCCUUAUGUGUCCAAGGUUGGAUUGUGGAUUCGCCAAAUGUAAUUUAGUUCCUAGAGUUUGUUAAUGGGCUGUAUAAUUUCUUCUUAAAGCUUUUUAGUUUAUAAUUUUUGGGUUAUAUAUCCGUAUUGGAGUCGUAGUUAAAGUUAAAGUAGCUCAUUAAGUGUAGGCUGUUACAGUGACACCCUGGUGAUGUUUUGGAAUGAUGUCAUUGAAGCAGGUGGAAGAGAAUCUGACAUAAUUUCCUAAAUAUUAUUUUAGGUUGUCCAUAUUUAGGGGAAGUGCUGUCAAAAUUUUUAAUAACUAAUUAAGUUUAUGGGUCUUGAUUAGUGUCUUUGAGAUAGGCUAAAUCGUGAUUAAAUAUUUGAAGUUGUUUAAAGAGUUAAAGUUCGUUUAGCAGGGUUUAAAGUUGUAA